AGUGAACGCUGGCGGUAGGCCUAACACAUGCAAGUCGAACGGCAGCACAGUAAGAGCUUGCUCUUACGGGUGGCGAGUGGCGGACGGGUGAGGAAUACAUCGGAAUCUACUUUUUCGUGGGGGAUAACGUAGGGAAACUUACGCUAAUACCGCAUACGACCUACGGGUGAAAGCAGGGGAUCUUCGGACCUUGCGCGAUUGAAUGAGCCGAUGUCGGUUUAGCUAGUUGGCGGGGUAAAGGCCCACCAAGGCGACGAUCCGUAGCUGGUCUGAGAGGAUGAUCAGCCACACUGGAACUGAGACACGGUCCAGACUCCUACGGGAGGCAGCAGUGGGGAAUAGUGGACAAUGGGCGCAAGCCUGAUCCAGCCAUACCGCGUGGGUGAAGAAGGCCUUCGGGUUGUAAAGCCCUUUUGUUGGGAAAGAAAAGCAGCAGGUUAAUACCCCGCUGUUCUGACGGUACCCAAAGAAUAAGCACCGGCUAACUUCGUG
rnacentral:rRNA from 1 species